AGUAUCCUGAUCUGGAGCACUCCACGGGUAGAUAGACAGUGGUAUGGCGUUAUCCCCAAUUCGGCUCUCAACCUAGAAUUGGAUCUGGUGGCUGUAUCUGCGUUACUGGUAAGGUGUGCAUCGAGAGGGGGGUUUAGUGUAGCUCUGUUGGCUGUGCGGUGCCAAAACUCUUGACAGAUUGCUUAGAAUUUUGCCUCAAACUGGAC